CCUCCCAGAUUCGAUCCCCCGCCGCCAGCCCCACCAACCCUCCCUUCGAUCCUCAGCUCUGAUCCCCCGCCGCUACCCCUCGAUCCCCAGAUCUGAUUCACCACCAGCCGGCGACCCAGCCGACGACCCGCCGGUGCCGACCGCCGCACUCUCGUUGUCUUCGUCUUCCCCUCCGAGCACCUCCCCGACUGGCUCCGCGUCGCGCUCUCGUCCUCUUCGUCUUCCCCUCUGAGCGCCUUCCCUACUGGCUUCGGGCAUUGCACCUCCCCGACGUCCCCCUUCGUCACGGCCUCGGCUAGGGCGGCACCACGGUCGUGGUGCCUUCUCCUUCCAGGCACCGCCAGUGUCGAGCUCUCCUUCACCAUAACCGCAUCCCAACCCUGGGCUCCGACCUACCCACCAUCUCGAGCAGGUCCAGAUCCGCCACGGCUCCCGCAGCCACGCACCGGCAGACCAAGCAGGUGCAGGACGUGGUCUCUUCCUCUUUUCGUUUCGAUUUGAUUUGGAAGGCUGAUGAUGUUCGUUCUCUUCGAUUCAAUUUGGUAGACGCGCAGGUGCACGACGUGUGGCCGCCAUUCUGCUUCCUCCCAUCCCGUGCUUCCUCCGGAAGUGGCGAGGAGAGGUGACCUGCAUCUGUCACCCCUCCAUCCACCACUCCACCAGUGCCACCAUCUCCAGCCACCGCCGCCAUCAGCACCAGCCUCCUCACACCACGCCUCCCACCAGACAGAGGGGCGGCCAUGCCUAGUGCCACGCGUGACUCCCACUGGCCGUUGUAGCCUCUACAGCUCCUCCCCUCACCAUGCAUAUUGCCUGCUUCGCCCAACGCCUAGAUGGCAGCAGCCAACCAAGAUCGCGAUCGCAUGUGAUCUAUCUAUCCACCUGUAGCUAGUUGCCUAACUACGACCCUGCAGAUCUAGUUGUUAUCUUAGCAUUUCGACUUUCAAAGUUACUGCAUGAUGCGCACCGCGCCAUUUCUUUUUGAAGUUACAACACCAGCCUACUACAUGCAUCUCCAAGCAUCAGGCUGCUAGUAGUUUACCUGUGCAAGUCAGGCAUCAUUGGAUCCUUGUUCAGAAAUCAAGGGCUGGCAUAUAUAGCUAGUAUCAUUGGACACAUUGUCUGAAUUUUUAACACAUUGCCUGGGCUUGUAUAACUAGUAUUAUAGGCAGGGUGUCUUUUUAAGUGAAAGUUCUUUCUAAGUAUUUUUUCAACUGCUUGUUUGGGCAUAUAUUGCUGUAUUAUAGGAUGCUUGAACAACGAGUCCCAAAUUUGGCAACAGGACAGACAGCUACCUCCCUAUUUUGUAUACAUGAAAGUGAGCGAGUCCCGAAUUUGGGUACAGGCAGGGGUCCAUUAGGAACAUGGCAGUUAAUUUGCAUAAUCCUCAACCUCCUCCUGCAAUCUCUCUUUCUCCCUUUCUUCUCUGAAUUUCCCGGUGUUGUAUAAGUCUGUAAGAUUCAGAUUUUAAGAGUACUUGCUCCAUGUACUAGUUACUUCUACUACUUAUUCUUAGCUAUUUAGUACUACUCUGUAGAUUUGUGAUACUAGUCUAGUCACUUGUAUAAUUUUGUUUAUUAGUGUAACCUGAACCAUGGAGUAGUACCCUGUUCGCAUAUGUGUGAUUAUGUGUGUUCUGUAGUUUCUGUGGUAGCUCAAGUACAUGUGAACUAUAUGUUGUGGUGUAAAUCAUUUUCAGUCUAUCUUAUAAACAUGUUUCUUCAAUAGCUAUUUCUGUUCAAGUCUUGUUUUCAAUGAUGUUAGCAUUUAGUUUGUCUCAAGUAAAAAAUACUAAAAAUACAAUGAAGAUAAUCUGAACCUCCCUAUGUAAAAUUUGGUUUGUCUGUAAUACUACUAGAAGAUAUGGGUGAGGGACUAAAAGGAUGAUAUGCUUCCAUGAAUUUAUUUGUAAGAAGUUUUUUCUUGGCUGUGUACAAAUCAGCCCAAAUAUGUGAGCCUCGGUUCUGAAAACUAAGCGUUCCUAUAUUGGUAGAUAGAAUGUGAUUUAGGAUAUGCUAAACAUAAAGCUUUAUAAGAUGGAACUAUCAAUUCAUCAUGACUUCACUUUGUCCUUUAAUUUAAUAUGGUUAGAACUACCAUGGGUUUUUAAGUAGUUGGGGCAUUAAGAAACAGUAUGCUCGAUGUUUGGCCUUGCAUCCGUCCUUCCAUGAAUUCAUGCUUGUGCAUUGCUAGUUAUUGCUUUUUUUGUAGGUCUUCUUCCUCCUCGAUCUGGUGCAGCAGCAACAAUUCAAGGUCAUGGUUAUGGAGCAGCAGCCAUAUAUUUUUCUUGUUAGUAUUCCUUGAGAUGAGAUGAGAUGAGGAUCUGUUGGUCGGUCUUCAAUUCUUCAUGCUGCUGCUACUGCUACAUGAGGGCCCUCUUCAAUUCUUCAUCUGUUGCAGAUACCGUAGCUUCGACCUCCAGAAGAGCACCUGCUCCUCGUGCGGUUACCUGGCCGCCUGCAUCCGCAAGUGAAGUGCGAAUCCAUGGCUGAAGCUGUGAAGCAUAUCAGCAAAGAGUAGCAUAUUAUGUGUUGUAGUUGUAGGCAGUAGUAGGCAUAUCUGGGUUGUAAUAUCCUGUAACUAUUGUAAUAGAUUAAUGUAGUAUUGUUUUGGACCAAUUUCAUUUUCUCUCUCGUCUAUUCGAAACAAUGAUUGUGUAUGUGAUUUGAAUACCCGUGAAAUGG